GUGGGGAAUCUUAGACAAUGGGGGCAACCCUGAUCUAGCCAUGCCGCGUGAGUGAUGAAGGCCUUAGGGUCGUAAAGCUCUUUCGCUGGGGAAGAUAAUGACGGUACCCAGUAAAGAAACCCCGGCUAACUCCGUGCCAGCAGCCGCGGUAAUACGGAGGGGGUUAGCGUUGUUCGGAAUUACUGGGCGUAAAGCGCGCGUAGGCGGAUUGGAAAGUUGGGGGUGAAAUCCCGGGGCUCAACCCUGGAAUGGCCUUCAAAACUCCCAGUCUUGAGGUCGAGAGAGGUGAGUGGAAUUCCGAGUGUAGAGGUGAAAUUCGUAGAUAUUCGGAGGAACACCAGUGGCGAAGGCGGCUCACUGGCUCGAUACUGACGCUGAGGUGCGAAAGCGUGGGGAGCAAACAGGAUUAGAUACCCCGGUAGUCC
rnacentral:rRNA from 1 species